rnacentral:rRNA from 1 species
AGAGUUUGAUCAUGGCUCAGAACGAACGUUAGCGGCGCGCUUAACACAUGCAAGUCGCACGAGAAAGGGCUUCGGCCCCGGUACAGUGGCGCACGGGUGAGUAACACGUGGGUAAUCUUCCCAAUGGCGGGGGAUAACCUUCCGAAAGGAGGGCUAAUACCGCAUAAGACCACGGCCUCGAAAGAGGUUGAGGUUAAAGCUGGCCUCUAUACAUAAGCUAGCACCAUUGGAUGAGCCCGCGGCCCAUCAGGUAGUUGGUAGGGUAACGGCCUACCAAGCCUAAGACGGGUAGCUGGUCUGAGAGGAUGAUCAGCCACACUGGAACUGAGACACGGUCCAGACUCCUACGGGAGGCAGCAGUGGGGAAUCUUGCGCAAUGGGCGAAAGCCUGACGCAGCGACGCCGCGUGGGUGAUGAAGGCCUUCGGGUUGUAAAGCCCUGUGGGGAGGGACGAAUAAGUGCAGCCUAACACGUUGCAUGAUGACGGUACCUCCUUAGCAAGCACCGGCUAACUCUGUGCCAGCAGCCGCGGUAAGACAGAGGGUGCAAACGUUGUUCGGAAUUACUGGGCGUAAAGCGUGUGUAGGCGGUCACGUAAGUCGGAUGUGAAAGCCCCGGGCUCAACCCGGGAAGUGCACUCGAUACUGCGUGACUCGAGUCUCGGAGAGGUUGGUGGGAUUCUCGGUGUAGAGGUGAAAUUCGUAGAUAUCGAGAGGAACACCGGUGGCGAAGGCGGCCAACUGGACGAAGACUGACGCUGAGACACGAAAGCGUGGGGAGCAAACAGGAUUAGAUACCCUAGUAGUCC